rnacentral:rRNA from 1 species
UACGGAGGGGGUUAGCGUUGUUCGGAAUUACUGGGCGUAAAGCGCACGAAGGCGGACUAUUAAGUCAGGGGUUAAAUCCCGGGGCUCAACCCCGGAUCUGCCCUUGAUACUGGCAGUCUAGAGUUCGUGAGAGGUGAGCGGAAUUCCUAGUGCAGAGGUGAAAUUCGUAGAUAUUCGGAGGAAUACCAGUGGCGAAGGCGGCUCACUGGCUCGAUCCUGGAGCUGAGGCGCGAAAGUGUGGGGAGUAGACAGG